rnacentral:rRNA from 1 species
GACGAACGCUGGCGGCGUGCCUAAUACAUGCAAGUCGAACGGUCUUUUCUAUGGAAGCUUGCUUCCGCUGAGAAGAUAGUGGCGAACGGGUGAGUAACACGUGGGUAACCUGCCCAUAAGAGGGGGAUAACAUCCGGAAACGGGUGCUAAUACCGCAUAGUUUUCUUGAUCGCAUGAUUGAGAAAGGAAAGACGGCCUUUGUGCUGUCGCUUAUGGAUGGACCCGCGGCGUAUUAGUUAGUUGGUGAGGUAACGGCUCACCAAGACGAUGAUCCGUAGCCGACCUGAGAGGGUGACCGGCCACAUUGGGACUGAGACACGGCCCAAACUCCUACGGGAGGCAGCAGUAGGGAAUCUUCCGCAAUGGACGAAAGUCUGACGGAGCAACGCCGCGUGAGUGAAGAAGGUUUUCGGAUCGUAAAACUCUGUUGUCAGAGAAGAACAAGUCGGAGAGUAACUGCUCCGGCCUUGACGGUAUCUGACCAGAAAGCCACGGCUAACUACGUACCAGCAGCCGCCGUAACAC